ACUCCUACGGGAGGCAGCAGUGGGUAAUCUUGGGCGAGGGGGCAAAGCGGAAUCCAGCCAAUGGGGGAAAGUGAAGAAGGGCUUCGGAUUGUAAAGCGCUUUAAGCCGGGA
rnacentral:rRNA from 1 species